CGGCGGACGGGUGAGUAACGCGUGGGUAACCUGCCUCAUACAGGGGGAUAACAGUUGGAAACGGCUGCUAAUACCGCAUAAGCGCACAGCACCGCAUGGUACCGUGUGAAAAACUCCGGUGGUAUGAGAUGGACCCGCGUCUGAUUAGGUAGUUGGUGGGGUAACGGCCUACCAAGCCGACGAUCAGUAGCCGACCUGAGAGGGUGACCGGCCACAUUGGGACUGAGACAUGGCCCAA
rnacentral:rRNA from 1 species